GGAUGGUACAACAGUUGCCGAAAAUCUUUGCUGAUACAAUGAAAGAUGGCUCUACAAUUGGGAGUGGCCAUGGAUCCCUGUUAAACCAGAUGAAAAGACGCGUUGAGCAUAAGAAUGGUGAUAAUCCUCUGGUACGACUAAGAAAGAGAAAAACACUCAGGCUCAUUGACUGUAGUCAGUGCAAGAGGGCCAACUGACGAAUACGGCUGUGUAAGAUGGCAGCCUGACUUUCCCACCGAAGAAACGGAAGAACCUUUGGCGGCAAAGCAUAAGAAAACGAAGCAGUUUUAUUCCAAAGAAGGGCCUACAGGAGGUGACAGAGGACAACUCUCGCAGCUCAUGCAAGCAACAUUUGACUUACAGCGCAGUGCCAUCAACGCUAGCCCAGAACCUAAGGUAGCCGAGCUGAGGAGUGAGUCACUAAGACUGAUUGUCCAAGGGGACAUAACGACUGCUGCCAAAUGGGAUGACAAGCAUCGAGAAGGAGGUCGUGAUGACGGUCCACUCAAACUUUGUGGAAGCGCCGGCAGCUUUUUUCCCCCCCUCAUUCUACACCUUCAAUCUGCAAUACCAAGAGCAGGCUUCACGCACCCUAAAGUUCAUCCAAAGAUGUUUUGCUGGAGAAGAAGAGCCACACAAUGAAUGUACAUGUCUGUACUCUGCCCAGGAAGAUAAUGGACUUAGAAAAGCUAUAGGCUAGUUCCUAUUGGCAAUACAUUUAAUUUAUUUGAGUCAAUUGUGACCUGCUCAAGUAAGUUUGGUUUGUCACUGGGGUUGGCUCUUUUUUUGUGUUUAACAAUUAUCCAGUAUGCACUGAAAUUGACACAUUGUUGAGGAAGUAAUGCUACUUUGCAUGUUUGGAAAUGUCUGGCAUUUACUCAACUUGAGCAGGCAACCCUUAUUAAAGCUUGAGCAUGUAGUUUUGGGAAGGGCCAAAUUAGAAAUCUGGGAAUAGGACAAAAUAUCCAUUUAUCUUUUCUGACCUUAAUCUCACAAUUCUAAAGUCUAAUUACCCUUCCCAAAAAGACAUACUCUGUGUUUAACCUGAGAGUGAAGGUAAUGACAAACCUAAGAUAAGGCCAGGCAGAGAGCAGGCCUACUUACCCCUCUUAGCAGGAAACAAUAUAUUUUUAAAAUGUAUAGCUCAAAGCGAGGCAAUGUGAUUUUUGAGUUACCUGUGUGUGAAAAGUUAUUUUUAUUUCAAAAGCUAAGAUAUGUACCAGUGCUUUUCUUAUCUGUAAUUAUGUCACUUUCUAUGGUGGAACAGUUGUAAACAUGCACCUUAUUCAGGACAUUGAUAUAUAUUUUUUUAAUUGAUACACUUGAAAUCUUUUUGUUGAAAAAAAUGGCUUUGCAUCUGAAUGCAGAAUAGCCUUGUGACAAACUAUCAAUAUUUUUUUAAUGUCACAUACAAGCUAGAAUAUCAUACCAAUACUGUUAAGAUGAACAAUUGUAUUUUGUCCUAAUGAAUCAUUUAAAAAUGUACACUUUUUGAUAGGUGCUGGGGGAAAGGUGUAGGUUUGUCGUUGAGGCAUUUAUGAUGCAGCACAUUUGGCUACAGUUUAUUGGCAUUUCCCACCUAGCAAUGGUGAAGUUGUACUAUGGGAGCUUAUUGAAAGUGUUUGUCACAUUUUUGGUUUGUUAACAUUAAACCAUGCUUAAGAAGAUAUUAUUUGUAUUGUGUUUACUUGUUUUGGUCAUGCAAAACGUUUUAGAAGUUUACAGUACUAUUGGCAUAUUUUAUCUGUAAAUGUCAUGUUACUUUAAAAUCACAUACAAUAUGUCACGCCCUGGUCGAAGUAUUUUGUGUUUAUCUUUAUUUAUUUGGUCAGGCCAGGGUGUGGCAUGGGUUUGUGUAUGUGGUGUGUAUGUAUUGGGAUUGUAGCUAGUGGGUGUUCUGGUUAAGUCUAUGGCUGUCAGAGGCAGGUGUUUAUCGUUGUCUCUGAUUGGGAACCAUAUUUAGGCAGCCAUAUUCUUUGAGUUUGUCGUGGGUGAUUGUCCUUAGUGUCUUUGUACCUUGUUCUGUGUGUAUGUGCACCAGUAUUAGGCUGUUUCGGUAUUCGUUACGUUUAUUGUUUUGUAGGUUUUGUAUUUAGAUUCGUGUUACGUUUGUUCAUUAAACAUGGAUCGCAAUCUACACGCUG